AGUGAACGCUGGCGGCAGGCCUAACACAUGCAAGUCGAACGGCAGCACAGGGGAGCUUGCUCCCUGGGUGGCGAGUGGCGGACGGGUGAGGAAUACAUCGGAAUCUACCCUGUCGUGGGGGAUAACGUAGGGAAACUUACGCUAAUACCGCAUACGACCUCCGGGUGAAAGCAGGGGAUCGCAAGACCUUGCGCGAUUGGAUGAGCCGAUGUCCGAUUAGCUAGUUGGCGGGGUAAAGGCCCACCAAGGCGACGAUCGGUAGCUGGUCUGAGAGGAUGAUCAGCCACACUGGAACUGAGACACGGUCCAGACUCCUACGGGAGGCAGCAGUGGGGAAUAUUGGACAAAGGGCGAAAGCCUGAUCCAGCCAUGCCGCGUGGGUGAAGAAGGCCUUCGGGUUGUAAAGCCCUUUUGUUGGGAAAGAAAACUUUCCGGUUAAUACCCGGAGAGAAUGACGGUACCCAAAGAAUAAGCACCGGCUAACUUCGUG
rnacentral:rRNA from 1 species